UACGAAGGGGGCUAGCGUUGCUCGGAAUCACUGGGCGUAAAGCGCACGUAGGCGGCUUUCUAAGUCAGGGGUGAAAUCCUGGAGCUCAACUCCAGAACUGCCUUUGAUACUGGAGAGCUUGAGUCCGGAAGAGGUGAGUGGAACUCCGAGUGUAGAGGUGAAAUUCGUAGAUAUUCGGAAGAACACCAGUGGCGAAGGCGGCUCACUGGUCCGAUACUGACGCUGAGAGCGAAAG
rnacentral:rRNA from 1 species